GACACAUUGUGAUGAGGUUACCCUAAUGUUGUUUUGCAGUGGCAGUUUUGUUGUCGUGAGCCUUCACAAAAAAUGACUUCUUCUUCCACUGAGUGUU
rfam:Picea glauca, whole genome shotgun sequence.